rfam:Phaeomoniella chlamydospora PC4_TCR_scaffold_v01_29, whole genome shotgun sequence.
GCUAGGAUAGUUUAAUAGGUAAGAACAUUAAUUUCAUGCAUUAAGAAUGAGAAUUCGAAUUUCUCUCCUGGCU